GUCCAUGCCGUAAACGUUGGGAACUAGAUGUGGGGGCCAUUCCACGGUCUCCGUGUCGCAGCUAACGCAUUAAGUUCCCCGCCUGGGGAGUACGGCCGCAAGGCUAAAACUCAAAGGAAUUGACGGGGGCCCGCACAAGCGGCGGAGCAUGCGUAUUAAUUCGAUGCAACGCGAAGAACCUUACCAAGGCUUGACAUAUACCGGAAACGUCCAGAGAUGGUCGCCCCGCAAGGUCGGUAUACAGGUGGUGCAUGGUUGUCGU
rnacentral:rRNA from 1 species